rnacentral:lncRNA from 1 species
UCUUGGCCAGGAUAAUCCAUUAGAUAGAUUUGAUAUUUUGAAAUACGAUAUGGAUAACCUGAUCAGAGUUGACAGUUGAACUCUGAGGUGUCCUAUGAGCAUUUUGGUCAAAGGGAUGAAUUAUAUGAAAACUGUAUCCGCAUGGGUUCUAAAGAUGUUGUUUUACACAUUCGACCUAUCCGACCAUCGGAUACCAUUACUAGAUGGUCACUUAGAUUGGUACAAAAAUUUAUUCCUGUGCUACCAACUUAGGUUCGAAUCUAUGAGGUCAUACACAUUAGAGUUUACGAUCCGAUCGGAUG